AUUGAACGCUGGCGGCAGGCCUAACACAUGCAAGUCGGGCGGAGCGGCGGACGGGUGAGUAAUGCCUGGGGAUCUGCCUGAUAGUGGGGGAUAACGUCCGGAAACGGGGGCUAAUACCGCAUACUAUCGGAUGAACCUAUGUGGGAUUAGCUAGUUGGUGGGGUAAAGGCAGACCAAGGCGACGAUCCGUAACUGGUCUGAGAGGAUGAUCAGCCACACUGGGACGGAGACACGGCCCAGACGCCUACGGGAGGCAGCAGUGGGGAAGAUGGGACAAUGGGCGAAAGCCUGAUGCAGCCAUGCCGCGUGUGUGAAGAAGGCCUUAGGAUUGUAAAGUACUUUAAGUUGGGAGGCGUUACCAGCAGAAUAAGCACCGGCUAACUUCGUGCCAGCAGCCGCGGUAAUUC
rnacentral:rRNA from 1 species